UACAGAGGUCUCAAGCGUUGUUCGGAUUCAUUGGGCGUAAAGGGUGCGUAGGCGGCGGGGCAAGUCGGAUGUGAAAUCUCAGGGCUCAACCCUGAAACUGCAUUCGAUACUGUCUUGCUCGAGGACUGGAGAGGAGAUUGGAAUUCACGGUGUAGCAGUGAAAUGCGUAGAUAUCGUGAGGAAGACCAGUGGCGAAGGCGGAUCUCUGGACAGUUCCUGACGCUGAGGCACGAAGGCCAGGGGAGCAAACGGG
rnacentral:rRNA from 1 species